GACUGAGCAAUUUACUGUUCAAGAAGGAAAUGUUAAUCCUAAUUGUUCAUUUCUCAAGAGGUGGUUUGGCCAGUUACUUUUCAGCGAUAAGUGUGUAGUAUGCACUAAAACAAAAAAGAUUGGGACGAAAUACCGCCCUUUAAAAUCGUACGAGUGUGAACCAGGCACAUGUGUUGAAAAAAAGGAUUACUUGGCCUCUUUCAUAAAAUUUUGUAAGGAACACAAAUGUGAUCAUAAAAAAAAGCAAAGCAAAGAAAGAAGUAAGGCAAAGAAGAAACAAAGAAGAAAGAGGGAAAAAAGAAUGCGCGAGAAAGUCAAAGGUACAGGCCUUUCGAGUUUUAUUACUUCAGUAUUUAAGAACCCAGAAGAAGAUGACUAUACACAAAAGUUGUUGCCCAAUGAAGGAAAAAGAAAGUACAAGAAGGAAAAGGAAAAAAAGGACGGUAAAGACAAAGAAAGAAAGGCACGAACGAGGCAACGAGGAAAGGAAAAAAAGGACGAUAAAGAUACAGAAAAAGAAACAAAGGGGCAGAAACGUUUGGAGGAUACAGCAAAGAAAACAUUAGCAACAACCAGACGUGGUUAUAGAAGACUCACUAGAAGAAUUAGAGAGAGAUACAAUCGUAAUAAAAAACUCGCGCAAGGGCAACAAGGGCAAUAUGCCUGCGAUUUCUACUUAAUGUCCUUAAGAGCAAAACCUUGUUUGUGGGUGUAUUAUAUGUGUCCAAUGUGCUAUCCGUACUGUUUGCAACUGCUGAAUAUAUGGAGGCAAGUGUCAGAUCUUUUGCUGUUCUUCGUGGCGAUUAUAGUGUGGAGUCCGUGCAUCCUCUGCGCUGAAUGUCUCAAGGUGGUAGCCUGUAACAUGUGUGUGUCCUGACUAAAUUGUCACUUGUGUUUAAUUAAAUUGCGUGAGUUAAUGUU